rnacentral:lncRNA from 1 species
GUGCGGAUCUAAAUCAAAUAAUAAUAUCAAGUAUGAUUGUUAAAGUGAUAAAAACUUAUUAUUAGAUGUGUCUAAUGCAUAUCUGCUAGUCACGUAAUUAAAUAGUUUCGACUUUCGACUAUAAAAUAUGGAUAACUAGUAUUCAGUAUUCACAUUGAUGUUUCAACUUCUUCGACUAUACCAAUAGCACUAAUAGCGAAAUAAAAAUUAACUUUUAGUUGAACUCAAAUUUUGCUAAUCAGAUGAAAAGACAUUUAUUUUUCAUCAUUUACUGUUUGAUUGAAGAUAAAUAAAUCAUUUUAUUCUCUUUUGUGUUAGAAAAGAACAACAAAGUAUGCUGACUUCAACAUUUUUUUUGUUACUUCACUUUUUUACUAUUUUCUUUUUAGUUACUUCACUUGAUUUAUUAGCACUUACUCUAAUUAAUUUCUCUAUUGUUUACCAAUCACACAAAUAAUAAAAACUAGGUAGUGGUAAAAGUAAAACAUUUAGUACCAUUGACAAAAAGGGAGAAAAUAAUUUGAUUCAAGUGGAGGAAAGCUAAGUCAUGCAC